rnacentral:rRNA from 1 species
AUGAACAUCGCCCUCUUAUCCCGCUGGCUUUGGCGCAUUUCGCAAGGUCAAGGUGGCCUCUGGUUAGACAUCAUCCGGAACAAAUACCUGCAUGGGCAACACCUUGCCUUCUAUCAGAGAUCUGGCGGCUCCCAGUUCUGGCAGUCGGUCAUCCAGCUACUCCCGGUCCUCCGCAUUGGGACCUUCAUUUCGGUUGGAUCUGGGGCUGCGAACCUGUUUUGGUUUGAUCGGUGGGCAGGAGACACCCCCUUCGCCGCACGCUUCCCUGACCUCUUCUCUAUCGCCGUUGAUCCUUGGAUCUCUGUAGAGAGGGCCCUUAUUGACUUAGGGCGCCUCGCCUUCCGGAGGCCAUUUGGGCCUCCGGACUUUGCCCCCUAGCAUGAGCUGCUAGACUGCGUCGCCCUUCACGAGCCGGUGGUGGACGCUAGCCCAGACCUGGUUCGGUGGCGCCUUGAGCCGUAAGGCCAAUUCUCCACCAAGUCCCUUUAUCAGGCCAUUGCCCCCUCCACCGCCCCUCCUCCCCUUACGGCGGUGUGGUCCAUCCGCCUGCCGCUGAAGAUUCGGAUCUUCAUGUGGCAAUGUAUUCGCGGGCGGACCCCGUUUGGGGUGGAGGUUCGCAAGCUCAAUGGCCCUGGUACUGGCCUUUGCCCGCUCUGCGGUGUCCCCGAAGACUCGAAACACAUCUUCUUCUCUUGUGUGUCCGCUCAAUUUGUUUGGAGUUGCUUUAGAGAGUUGGUUGGUGGUAAUUGGUGUCACACCAACUUCCCCGACCUAUUCGCCGAACUCCAGAACCCUCCCUGCCUUCUCGCCACAUUAGGUGGCUGGAGAUUGGGGCCCUCGCUUGGACCCUCUGGACGAUCCGCUAUAGACUUGUGA